rnacentral:tRNA from 1 species
UGGGGAGUAGCUCAGUGGUAAAGCACCUGCUUAGCAAGCAUGAGGCCCUGAGUUCAAUUCCCAUCACCACAU